rnacentral:rRNA from 1 species
UGGGGAAUUUUGGACAAUGGGGGCAACCCUGAUCCAGCAAUGCCGCGUGUGUGAAGAAGGCCUUCGGGUUGUAAAGCACUUUUGUCCGGAACGAAACGGUCCUGGUUAAUACCUGGGGCUAAUGACGGUACCGGAAGAAUAAGCACCGGCUAACUACGUGCCAGCAGCCGCGGUAAUACGUAGGGUGCAAGCGUUAAUCGGAAUUACUGGGCGUAAAGCGUGCGCAGGCGGUUGUGCAAGACAGAUGUGAAAUCCCCGGGCUUAACCUGGGAAUUGCAUUUGUGACUGCACGGCUAGAGUGUGUCAGAGGGGGGUAGAAUUCCACGUGUAGCAGUGAAAUGCGUAGAUAUGUGGAGGAAUACCGAUGGCGAAGGCAGCCCCCUGGGAUAACACUGACGCUCAUGCACGAAAGCGUGGGGAGCAAACA